GGAGAGGUGGCAGAGUUCGGUUGAAUGCGUGCGACUCGAAAUCGUAUAGGCUAGCAAUAGUCUCGUGGGUUCAAAUCCCACCCCCUCCGCCA
rnacentral:tRNA from 1 species